CCUACGGGUGGCAGCAGUCGAGAAUUAUUCACAAUGGGGGAAACCCUGAUGGUGCGACGCCGCGUGGGGGAAUGAAGGUCUUCGGAUUGUAAACCCCUGUCAUGUGGGAGCAAAUUAAAAAGAUAGUACCACAAGAGGAAGAGACGGCUAAAUCAGUGCCAGCAGCCGCGGUAAUAACGAGGUACCAAGCGUUGUUCGGAAUCACUGGGCGUAAAGCGUGCGUAGGCUGUUUUGUAAGUCGUGUGUGAAAGGCGCGGGCUCAACCCGCGGACGGCAGAUGAUACUGGGAAACUAGAGUAAUAGAGAGGGAAGCGGAAUUCCAGGUGAAGCAGUGAAAUGCGUAGAUAUCGAGAAGAACACUAGUGGCGAAGGCGGGUUCCUGGACAUUAACUGACGCUGAGGGACGAAGGCCAGGGGAGCGAAAGGGAUUAGAUACUCCUGUAGUC
rnacentral:rRNA from 1 species